CAGCACCGCCUGCUACUUACAUCGCAUUUAUCUUUCGCCUUUUACUAAAGAUAGCCGUGAGUGAGCAGGCACUGCGGUGCAUUGACCCAAUUUUUGGAGCCCCCUCAAAAGGGCAA
rnacentral:snRNA from 1 species